CGCGUUUUUCGCCCAGGCGGAGCUCGACCGCCGUUUGAAGAGCUAAAGCACUUCAUCGACCAACACCGUCACACGUUCGGGGUCGAGCCCAUCUGCCGGGUUUUGCAGAUGGCCCCG
rfam:Thauera sp. 63 Cont15, whole genome shotgun sequence.